GAUUAAGUUAUUAAGGGCGCACGGUGGAUGCCUUGGCACUAGAAGCCGAUGAAGGACGUUACUAACGACGAUAUGCUUUGGGGAGCUGUAAGUAAGCUUUGAUCCAGAGAUUUCCGAAUGGGGAAACCCAGCAUGAGUUAUGUCAUGUUAUCGAUAUGUGAAUACAUAGCAUAUCAGAAGGCACACCCGGAGAACUGAAACAUCUUAGUACCCGGAGGAAGAGAAAGAAAAUUCGAUUCCCUUAGUAGCGGCGAGCGAAACGGGAAGAGCCCAAACCAACAAGCUUGCUUGUUGGGGUUGUAGGACACUCUAUACGGAGUUACAAAGGACGACAUUAGACGAAUCAUCUGGAAAGAUGAAUCAAAGAAGGUAAUAAUCCUGUAGUCGAAAAUGUUGUCUCUCUUGAGUGGAUCCUGAGUACGACGGAGCACGUGAAAUUCCGUCGGAAUCUGGGAGGACCAUCUCCUAAGGCUAAAUACUCUCUAGUGACCGAUAGUGAACCAGUACCGUGAGGGAAAGGUGAAAAGCACCCCGGAAGGGGAGUGAAAUAGAACCUGAAACCGUGUGCUUACAAGUAGUCAGAGCCCGUUAAUGGGUGAUGGCGUGCCUUUUGUAGAAUGAACCGGCGAGUUACGAUUUGAUGCAAGGUUAAGCAGUAAAUGUGGAGCCGUAGCGAAAGCGAGUCUGAAUAGGGCGUUUAGUAUUUGGUCGUAGACCCGAAACCAGGUGAUCUACCCUUGGUCAGGUUGAAGUUCAGGUAACACUGAAUGGAGGACCGAACCGACUUACGUUGAAAAGUGAGCGGAUGAACUGAGGGUAGCGGAGAAAUUCCAAUCGAACCUGGAGAUAGCUGGUUCUCUCCGAAAUAGCUUUAGGGCUAGCCUCAAGUGAUGAUUAUUGGAGGUAGAGCACUGUUUGGACGAGGGGCCCCUCUCGGGUUACCGAAUUCAGACAAACUCCGAAUGCCAAUUAAUUUAACUUGGGAGUCAGAACAUGGGUGAUAAGGUCCGUGUUCGAAAGGGAAACAGCCCAGACCACCAGCUAAGGUCCCAAAAUAUAUGUUAAGUGGAAAAGGAUGUGGCGUUGCCCAGACAACUAGGAUGUUGGCUUAGAAGCAGCCAUCAUUUAAAGAGUGCGUAAUAGCUCACUAGUCGAGUGACACUGCGCCGAAAAUGUACCGGGGCUAAACAUAUUACCGAAGCUGUGGAUUGUCCUUUGGACAAUGGUAGGAGAGCGUUCUAAGGGCGUUGAAGCAUGAUCGUAAGGACAUGUGGAGCGCUUAGAAGUGAGAAUGCCGGUGUGAGUAGCGAAAGACGGGUGAGAAUCCCGUCCACCGAUUGACUAAGGUUUCCAGAGGAAGGCUCGUCCGCUCUGGGUUAGUCGGGUCCUAAGCUGAGGCCGACAGGCGUAGGCGAUGGAUAACAGGUUGAUAUUCCUGUACCACCUAUAAUCGUUUUAAUCGAUGGGGGGACGCAGUAGGAUAGGCGAAGCGUGCGAUUGGAUUGCACGUCUAAGCAGUAAGGCUGAGUAUUAGGCAAAUCCGGUACUCGUUAAGG
rnacentral:rRNA from 1 species